UUUUAAAUCUUCUGUCCUUCUGGUGAAAGAGGCAUUUUUUCAGAAUGGUGAGAAGGAAGCUCGUAGAAUCUUGUGUAAAAGCAUUGAACUUCUGUGCUACUGAGAGUCGUGGGGAGUUACAGGACUUCGUCCUUAACAAAUCAAAGGGGAUUGAAGAUGAGCUCAUUAUCAAACUUAAAUCUGCUAUAAUAGAAGUUGCUGUAUGUGCCCUUAACAAAUUGAAGGUUGUAUGAACUUCAAUUGUCAAGGCAAAUUUCCAUUGAAAGUUUGCAUAAAGAUCUUGCAGAGACUCUCAAAAACUUCAGAAGUAUUGAUGACGAGGUUUGUGUUGUUUUUUCAGAACAAUGGUGGCUGUUUCAGGAAAGCAACCCUUGCAUCCACAGAGCUAGAAGCUUUGGGGUACUCUCCAGAUGAAUCCAUUCUUCAAAAGUUCUGGAAACUUUGUUAACGCCAACUACAUAUUCCAGGAUUUUAAAUCUUCUGUCCUUCUGGUGAAAGAGGCAUUUUUUCAGAAUGGUGAGAAGGAAGCUCGUAGAAUCUUGUGUAAAAGCAUUGAACUUCUGUGCUACUGAGAGUCGUGGGGAG